CACAUAUUGUGAGCUCGAUGAGUAGGGCGGGACACGUGGUAUCCUGUCUGAAUAUGGGGGGACCAUCCUCCAAGGCUAAAUACUCCUGACUGACCGAUAGUGAACCAGUACCGUGAGGGAAAGGCGAAAAGAACCCCGGCGAGGGGAGUGAAAAAGAACCUGAAACCGUGUACGUACAAGCAGUGGGAGCCUCUUAAUGGGGUGACUGCGUACCUUUUGUAUAAUGGGUCAGCGACUUAUAUUCUGUAGCAAGGUUAACCGAAUAGGGGAGCCGAAGGGAAACCGAGUCUUAACUGGGCGUUAAGUUGCAGGGUAUAGACCCGAAACCCGGUGAUCUAGCCAUGGGCAGGUUGAAGGUUGGGUAACACUAACUGGAGGACCGAACCGACUAAUGUUGAAAAAUUAGCGGAUGACUUGUGGCUGGGGGUGAAAGGCCAAUCAAACCGGGAGAUAGCUGGUUCUCCCCGAAAGCUAUUUAGGUAGCGCCUCGUGAAUUCAUCUCCGGGGGUAGAGCACUGUUUCGGCAAGGGGGUCAUCCCGACUUACCAACCCGAUGCAAACUGCGAAUACCGGAGAAUGUUAUCACGGGAGACACACGGCGGGUGCUAACGUCCGUCGUGAAGAGGGAAACAACCCAGACCGCCAGCUAAGGUCCCAAAGUCAUGGUUAAGUGGGAAACGAUGUGGGAAGGCCCAGACAGCCAGGAUGUUGGCUUAGAAGCAGCCAUCAUUUAAAGAAAGCGUAAUAGCUCACUGGUCGAGUCGGCCUGCGCGGAAGAUGUAACGGGGCUAAACCAUGCACCGAAGCUGCGGCAGCGACACUAUGUGUUGUUGGGUAGGGGAGCGUUCUGUAAGCCUGUGAAGGUGGCCUGUGAGGGUUGCUGGAGGUAUCAGAAGUGCGAAUGCUGACAUAAGUAACGAUAAAGCGGGUGAAAAGCCCGCUCGCCGGAAGACCAAGGGUUCCUGUCCAACGUUAAUCGGGGCAGGGUGAGUCGACCCCUAAGGCGAGGCCGAAAGGCGUAGUCGAUGGGAAACAGGUUAAUAUUCCUGUACUUGGUGUUACUGCGAAGGGGGGACGGAGAAGGCUAUGUUGGCCGGGCGACGGUUGUCCCGGUUUAAGCGUGUAGGCUGGUUUUCCAGGCAAAUCCGGAAAACCAAGGCUGAGGCGUGAUGACGAGGCACUACGGUGCUGAAGCGACAAAUGCCCUGCUUCCAGGAAAAGCCUCUAAGCAUCAGGUAACAUCAAAUCGUACCCCAAACCGACACAGGUGGUCAGGUAGAGAAUACCAAGGCGCUUGAGAGAACUCGGGUGAAGGAACUAGGCAAAAUGGUGCCGUAACUUCGGGAGAAGGCACGCUGAUAUGUAGGUGAAGCGACUUGCUCGUGGAGCUGAAAUCAGUCGAAGAUACCAGCUGGCUGCAACUGUUUAUUAAAAACACAGCACUGUGCAAACACGAAAGUGGACGUAUACGGUGUGACGCCUGCCCGGUGCCGGAAGGUUAAUUGAUGGGGUUAGCGGUAACGCGAAGCUCUUGAUCGAAGCCCCGGUAAACGGCGGCCGUAACUAUAACGGUCCUAAGGUAGCGAAAUUCCUUGUCGGGUAAGUUCCGACCUGCACGAAUGGCGUAAUGAUGGCCAGGCUGUCUCCACCCGAGACUCAGUGAAAUUGAACUCGCUGUGAAGAUGCAGUGUACCCGCGGCAAGACGGAAAGACCCCGUGAACCUUUACUAUAGCUUGACACUGAACAUUGAGCCUUGAUGUGUAGGAUAGGUGGGAGGCUUUGAAGUGUGGACGCCAGUCUGCAUGGAGCCGACCUUGAAAUACCACCCUUUAAUGUUUGAUGUUCUAACGUUGGCCCGUAAUCCGGGUUGCGGACAGUGUCUGGUGGGUAGUUUGACUGGGGCGGUCUCCUCCUAAAGAGUAACGGAGGAGCACGAAGGUUGGCUAAUCCUGGUCGGACAUCAGGAGGUUAGUGCAAUGGCAUAAGCCAGCUUGACUGCGAGCGUGACGGCGCGAGCAGGUGCGAAAGCAGGUCAUAGUGAUCCGGUGGUUCUGAAUGGAAGGGCCAUCGCUCAACGGAUAAAAGGUACUCCGGGGAUAACAGGCUGAUACCGCCCAAGAGUUCAUAUCGACGGCGGUGUUUGGCACCUCGAUGUCGGCUCAUCACAUCCUGGGGCUGAAGUAGGUCCCAAGGGUAUGGCUGUUCGCCAUUUAAAGUGGUACGCGAGCUGGGUUUAGAACGUCGUGAGACAGUUCGGUCCCUAUCUGCCGUGGGCGCUGGAGAACUGAGGGGGGCUGCUCCUAGUACGAGAGGACCGGAGUGGACGCAUCACUGGUGUUCGGGUUGUCAUGCCAAUGGCACUGCCCGGUAGCUAAAUGCGGAAGAGAUAAGUGCUGAAAGCAUCUAAGCACGAAACUUGCCCCGAGAUGAGUUCUCCCUGACUCCUUGAGGGUCCUGAAGGAACGUUGAAGACGACGACGUUGAUAGGCCGGGUGUGUAAGCGCAGCGAUGCGUUGAGCUAACCGGUACUAAUGAACCGUGAGGCUUAACCUUA
rnacentral:rRNA from 1 species